rnacentral:rRNA from 1 species
UGCGUAGGCGGCAUGAUAAGUUAGUGGUGAAAGCCCCCGGCUCAACCGGGGAACUGCCAUUAAUACUGUCAUUCUUGAGUAUAGUUGAAGUGGGCGGAAUGUAUCAUGUAGCGGUGAAAUGCUUAGAUAUGAUACAGAACACCGAUAGCGUAGGCAGCUUGCUAAACUAUAACUGACGCUCAGGCACGAAAGCGUGGGGAGCAAACAGGAUUAGAUACCCUGGUAGUCC